rnacentral:rRNA from 1 species
CCUACGGGUGGCAGCAGUGGGGAAUAUUGCACAAUGGGGGAAACCCUGAAGCAGCAACGCCGCGUGGAGGAUGAAGGUUUUCGGAUUGUAAAGUCCUUUCGGCAGAGAAGAUAAUGACGGUAUCUAAGGAAUAAGCACCGGCUAACUCCGUGCCAGCAGCCGCGGUAAUACGUAGGGUGCAAGCGUUACUCGGAAUCACUGGGCGUAAAGAGCGCGUAGACGGGAAAGCAAGUCAGAUGUGAAAGCCUAUGGCUCAACCAUAGAACUGCAUUUGAAACUUUUAUUCUAGAGUAUGGGAGAGGUAGGCGGAAUUCUUGGUGUAGGGGUGAAAUGCGUAGAGAUCAGGAGGAACACUCGUUGCGAAGGCGACCUACUGGAAGAUAACUGACGUUGAUGCUCGAAAGCGUGGGGAGCAAACAGGAUUAGAUACCCGAGUAGUC